GAAUUAAACUUUAUAUAAAAAUAAUAUAAUAAAACAUAAUAUAAAUGUUUGGGACUUUUAAUGAGCACUUUUUUAUCAUGUGAGUCACAGUCUACAGUCUUUUCAUAAUAAGUGAAGUUAUGAUUUGAUAUUGAAUUAUAUAUCUGGAAGAUUGGUAUUAUUAUAGUUAAUGUUAAAUUAUAAUUAAGGAGAAAAGUGACACCAAUACAUCAGAGGAAGCUAAUUCAAUAAAACUUGUACAGUUUAGUUGUCCACGUAGCCUACUAUUCUAACUCUGAGAGAAGUACCUAUAGAUAUUGUAGUAAUUUUUUUUGCACUUCUUAGUUUCCUCUUUAAAAACAUGUGGAUUUGUUUUCUAAGUAUCCAUGAGUGAUCCUCAGUAACUUGGACAUAAUUUAUGUCAGGUUUCUUUCCAUCCCUUUGUAUUUUUACUUUCAAUCCUUUCUUGGGGGUAACAUGUUUUUAAAGUUAGCUCUCACUGUAUAGUAUUAUUAAUUUUAUUGGUUUGAGAACUAAAGCUUUAACAUUUCAAGGAGUAGUCCUUACUUUUAGGAAUUGGUAAAUAAAGCUAUAUUCAGUCAUUUUCUGUGCUUUUUAUUCACAAACAUUUAUUGUAUUAUAUCACUCAAUCUUUGUCUUUCUAAAUUCAGAAGUUUUCAUUAUUUGAGUCUAUUUUGAUGCAGAGUCUACUCAGUCCUCUUUUAACCUGCAGUCCCCAAUCCCCAGGCCGUGGACUGGUUUUGGUCCAUGACCUCUUAGGAACUGGCCCACACAGCAGGAGGUGAGUGGCAGGUUAGUGAGCAAAGCUUCAUCUGUAUUUACAGCCGCUCCCCAUCUCUCAUAUCACCACCUGAGAUUUACCUCCAGUCAGAUCAGCAGUGGCAUUAGAUUACUGUAGGAGAGCAAACCCUGUAUAAACUGUGCAUGUGAGGGAUCUAGGUUGCAUGCUCCUUAUGAGAAUUUGUCUGAAACCAUCCCCCCCAAGGUUCGUGGAAAAAUUGUCUUCCAUGAAACUGGUCCCGGUGCCAAUAAGGUUGGGGACCGUUGCUCUUAAUAGAGAUGUUGUUCUCUAGACCUCAUUCAGUUAGUUGUACUGUCACUGAGAUAUGAUAUUCGUCCAUAAAAAACAGAUGCUUUGUUAUCUUAGACAUACCUAGUUUUGAAAAUGUUUUAUUUCCAAAAAACUCUCCCAGGGGUCCCCAGCAUUGUGUUUCGCUUUAGCAGAGAACCAAAAUAAGCUGAUUUUAGGGAAAAUGGUUCACAGUUCUUCCUAAACAUUUUCCUAGAAUUUUAUAAUUCAUAAGAUCUCAUAUUUUACACAUAUACUUCUAUAUUACUGUUUUCUAAACUCAAUUCUUUAAUAUUGGUACACAUCAAAGAUCAUACACCAUUUUUCUUUCUACUUAGGCAAUGUUGGAAGGUUUAUUUUUUGGCAUUUUAUUUUCCUGUAAACUCAGACAGUUUCCUACUGAAAUGAGUUUCAUAUCACCUACAAACUUGAAACACAUUCUGUAUGUGGGUUUGUGUAUGUGCAUGUGUGUAUAAAAUGUUGGUGUGGAACUUUAUCAAAGUGUUUUUGAAAAUCUCAAUUCCCUUUGGACUUGUACUUAUAUAUUUUUAUAUUCUGUCCUUGAUUAAUUUUUAGCUUUAUCAUGGAGAUUUUCAAACACAUAAAAGUAGAGAGAAAAGGUUAAUAAACAACUAUGUACCCAUCUUAUCAAUAGUCUGCUUGCUUUCUCAUUACAUAUAUCCUUUUCCCUAAAUAUUUUUCUUCUGGGAGUAUUUCAGAGCAAAUCCUGAAUAUCAUAUAAUUUCAUCUAUAAAUACUUCAGUCUGAUAACAGAUAAGCACUCUUAAAAAAGCUCUAUAAAAUUUCAAGAAUUUCUUAGUUACUGGUUCAAGUUUCCCAAGUUAUCUAAAAAUGUCCCUGAUAGAUUAUUAGCCAAGACACCCUGUCAUAUAAAUGAUGGCUCCUCUAGGUGUUGUAUCUUUAACCUUUCUGUAGAUGCCAUCAUCCCAUCAAGAUUAGAAAUCAGACUGAGACUUUUGUUUCCAGAAUCUCCUCUGGAGUCCUUUUCAUGGGUGUGAGUCACCCUGGCAAGCUGCCAAUCUCCUCAUAUAGUGGCAGUUAAUAACAACAGGUUUAUCCAUUUUGGCCAGCAGUUCUAUAUUUCGCCCUAGAGUUCCUUUAGCAGUCUUGGGUAGAUGCCGUCUGGUCCUGGUGAUUUAUUUACAUCUCAUUUGUCACUUAGGUGGAGGAAAAUCCUGUUUUCCACUGUUUGUUCUAGUAUCUCUGACCUGUCUGCUUUAAGGCAAGAUACAAGUGAGUCUUUCUAAAGUCUUCUUCAGUAAAGACUGAAGCGAAUGAUUCAUUGAUUCUCCUUGCUAUCACCUUUCCAUCCCUCAGUGGCCUUUUCUGACUGGCUUCUUGACUGUCGUACUUCGAGCUCCAUUUCACAGUCCACUGCUGACAAUCACAGGAGCCACGUCUGGGUCGUGGAAAGGACUAUCCAACUUCCUUCUGCAGCCACAAACCCACCUGUGGGCUAUUCUAAUGGAACAGCUUAGAACUCAUUAGGGAAAAGUUGCUACAUUAAUCCAAGAGAACAAUUUGGUAACACUUCUCUACUCUGGUAAGAAAAUGGUAUUCUUUGGAAUUGUCUCAAGUAAGUGUUUUCUUUCUAGACGUUAUGACACCAUUGGCCGAUAAUGUUUUGUCCUGUAACUUUUGGGGUCUAUAAAAACAUUUAAUGAAUAGUCUGUAUGCUCUUGAGAACCUCCACUCUGCUAGAUCCAAUAAGAUUUUUCAAAGGAAAUAGAUGAGAGUCCUGAGAUAAAGACACUAACACCUAAUUGCAUUAAAUGAGAUUGGAGGAAGGGAGAAGAGAGCUGAAUAAAGCAUAUUGGAAGAGCCACUUACACAGAACGUAGAAUCAGCCGUAGGAGUUUAGCCCCACCCUUGGACAGUUUCAUUAAGUACACCUGGGUAGCAUCAAAUUAAUUUGCAUUUUUUAACCAAUUCUCUGGAUGGUUAUGAAGUCAGUAACAGAGACAUUUCAUUUUGAGAAACAUUGCCAAGGUCAGCAGAGAGACCCCAAGACCCUUCUCCUGAUUCCUGGGCUCUAGCAGCUGACUAGCAUAGACGGUUUUAUUUUUUGUCUCGGGACCUUUUCAACUCCCCUGGGCUGUGACUUUUUGACGAUAGGACACCUCAUUCUUUUCUUUUUUCUCUGGUGGUAUGAGAAUUGACUCUUUUUUCAGUGGCCUGUUCACUCAGCGUGGAGCCCUAGGCCUCUGCCUGCUCCUGAUCAUACCUUGUCUUGCUGUUGGCCUUCUACCAGGAUCCCUGAGUUUCCCUUCACCACUGGCCAGACACCCUGGUCAGUUCCACCUGCCUGUGCCAUUCAUUUUAGCAUCCUCUGCCACUCGGUCAUCCUUGAAACCUGUCUACAUGGCCAUUGAAAGCCCAUUGUCCUCAGGAUGAGCUUGCGUAACACAGAUAGGUUUGUUGUACUAACUGCAGGCUUUUUUUUUUUUUUUUUAAAGUACCUGGUAUUUGUGGCUGUAGAAAGACAAAAAGAGGAAGCAACGCGUGGUGAUCACAGUGUCUCAUAUAAACACUGCUGCUGAGAACGUAAUGAAGGUUAAAUUGUGCCUGACACAUAGCAGAGGCACCAGGGCUGUAGGUCUUAAGAGAAGUUGUUUAACAUCAUUCUAAAAGCAACCGUGUCUGUGAAGCUGGUACUAAUAAAGGGAUGCUCUUAUAGGCCGAUUUCCCAAACAUUCGAAACAGCAUUUAGGAUACUUGUCUAGACUAGCAUUUAGACAACUAGCAUAUAGCGUACUUGCUCUCAGCUACAGCUGAGCUUCCCAGGCUCUAUUAGCAAGAUGCACUGAGACCCAGACUGAGCGGUGUUCACGUUCACGCUGACCUUUUCCUUUUCUCCUCCCUAGAAUUUUCUUUGCUUGUUUGAACUUUUGGUUAACUCACCUUUUUACUCAGUGCAAGUAUCCAAGUCAGAAGUAAUUUCUUUUGGGUUGGGGGAUGGCUUUGUGAUAUGAUUGAGUUCACAAGAAUUAGGAGUGUUUUUGGUAUUUAUUCAAGAACUGACUGGUUUAAAGCUGAGCAGACUUCAGUAUCCAUGAAUUUUUCAGGCUGUGGAUAGGCAGAUGUCUUUCAUCAGAAUCACCUGGGGUGCUUCUUAAAUAUUUAAAUUCUCAGAUCCAUCCUUGAUCAACUGAAUCUGAAUUUAUGGGACUGGAGUCCAGGACUUUUAUCACAAUGACUUCCUCAGGUGAUUCUGUUGUGCACAAGAAAUUGAGAUCCAUGACUCCAGUUGCCCAAUCUCCUCAUUUUUAUAAUUCAAAAUACUAAUAAGAUAUUUAGCAAAUGGGAAGCAAAGGACAAUACCACUUAGUAUUGCACAUUGUUUUAGUGCAACUUCAUGAGCAUAUUGAACACAUUUAAGUGAAUGUACAGUGUUCCCAUUUGUGUACCUAAUGACUUGUGUUAAACAAAAGCCAUUCAACGCCUACAGAGUACAUUUAAGAGUUCAUGAUGAUAACUGUUCUUGCCCUUAUUUGACAUGAACAUUAUUAGGGUGUUAUGGUAUGUCUUUCUUCUUAUCAGGCAGUCAUUCACUGAGUGAACAAACAUUACUUACAGUAAAAGGAGAAGAAUCUAAUUAAAAGAAAAAGUUUUACCCUCUCUAUAAUGUCAGAAAGCAUCUCAAAGUAGCUUCUCUACUUAUGAUACCUUUAUCAAAGUGUGCUAACAUUGAGUAUUACUGAAUAAAAGCAAGACAAGUGUGCAAUACAUUUUAACACUUAGCUCAACUUUGAAGUCCAUAAGUAAUUAUAACAAUAAAAGGCCAAAGUCAUAACUGUUAUAAAUCAUAUACAACUGUAGCUUUAUGGGAUUUCAAAGUGGCUUGUGUACAUCAAGUAUGAACUGUGGACAAUGUUGGUGAAUUAUCUGGGCUUCAAAUGAUACUUUUGACCAGUUUGAGAUGAGCCCUGCAUACUUAGUAGAAAGUAGGACCCCAAUGGAUGGGAUCAAUCAGAAGAGAGAGACUGGAGGCAGGGGGCCCUUUGGGGAAGCCAGUGUGACCUGUUGGGCUGUUGGACCUGCUCUUCUUUUCUGGAAACUGUAUCUCUAUGUGUUUUUCAGCACAUAAUAUCCCAAAUUCCCAGUUGAUUGGUCAAAGGAAGAUAGCUGAUUCCAACUAGAUCAAUCAAAUUAUCUCUCAAGAAUAUGGACUAGGAGACCUGAGAGGGGUACCUGGUAGACCUGAGUGGAGUUUAUGGUAGAGCUAGAGAGAGGGGUUCCGCUAACUUCUGCUGCUGACUGUUCUGGUGCCUGACUUUCCUAGGCUUAUUGUUAAAACUUUUCUCGAACUUAUGAAAUUCAGCAUAUUUGACCUUACCAGCAGUUCCUAACCUUUUUGGCACCAGGGACCAAUUUCAUGGAAGACAAUUUUUUCACAGACCAGGCUGGGGGCAUGGUUUUGGGAUAAUUCAAGCACAUUACAUUUAUUGUACACUUUAUUUUUAUUAUUAUUACAUUGUAAUAUAUAAUGAAAUAAUUAUACAACUCACCAUGGGUUGGGGACCCCUGCUUGCAGGAUUUGGUUAAGCAGUUUCUGUAAGGUUAUUAACUAAACACACACACCUAGUCCAGGAGUCAGAGAUGCUGGAAGGGGAGCCCCAGGGGAAAGUGGAAUAGUUGCAGGCCCAACUAUGGCCGUGUGCCAGAGGUUAGGCAGCAGAUCAGCAAUGGCAUGUGAGUGCCACAAAAUGGGUGCUGUUCUGUUUCUACACCCCAACUUUCCUGUGCAGCUCACAGAACCUAGAACUUGUUUAGAGAGCUCAUCUUAAUGAUUAUGUUCCUCUGGAACCACUCUACAAUCAAAAUCUAGGUAAGUUAUCUAUUGUUGCAUAACACGUUACCCCAAAAUGUAAUAGUUGAAAACAACAAACAUUUAUUAACUCAUGGUUUCCGUGGGUCAAGAAUGGAGUUGCUUAGCUGGGAGGUUCUGACUCAGGGUCUUUCACAGGCUGCAAUCAAGGCACUGGCUGGACCAGCAGUCAUCUGAAGUGCCAACUGGGGAAGGAGCCACAUCCCAGCUCACUCGUGUGGCUAUUGAAAGGCAUCACUUCUUGGCUACAUAGGCCUUUUCACGGGGCUGCUUCACAAAUGGCAGCUAGCUCUUUCUAAAGAAAGUGACCCAAGAAUAAGAGUAAGCACCAGCAUCUAAGAUUGAAGCCAUGUUUGUUUUUCUUUUACAACCUAAUUUUGAAAGUGAGAUCUUAAUACUUCUAUUUUCCAUUCAUUAGAUGUCAAUUAAUGAAUUAAUGUAGCCAACACUGAAGGGGUGGGAGUUGCACAGAGCAUGAACACCAGGGAGUGGGUGGGGCUCAUGGGGCCAUUCAAAACUGCCUACCGUAAUCUUAGAUUGCUUCUCUUUUUGUCUUAUGUGAAACUUGAAUUGUUUUCUGUUAUAUAAAGCUAAGUAAAUCUUCCCUAAUAUGAUAGAAUUGCCAUAGUCUUGGCAAGAGUUUGGGUUUUACAAUGAUAAGGGCAAGAGACAGACUAAUACAAUAAAUAUUAUGAAGUUAGAAUUGAUCAUCUUGGCAGUACUGGGCAGGAGUUCAGAGUUAGAAAAAUGAGUUUGUACUUUGGACAUUGCAUUUAUUAGAUAAAUGACCUGUGGCAAAUUCUAAACCAAUUUUAAAUCAUAGUUUUCUCACCUAUAAACGGGUAGCUAUCUCACGGGCACACCCAAGACAGGGUGAUGGAGAAGAGUUUAACAAAGGGAAUGUUUACAAAGGUGUGGGCAGGGUUGAGGGAAAGAGCAAGGGAUGGUGACAAGGGACAGCUACCACCUCCAGGCCUGAGAGGGAAUAGGUAGGAAUCUAUAGCUUUAGGAGACAACUUCUGGUUAGGGUUUUGGAGAGAAGGACAUAGCCAUUCUUUAGUGACAGGGCAGAGAGGAAAUAUUACCUUGAACUUUUUCUUCCUCCCUCCUAUCUACUUGAAGUGACUUGCAGGCAGGCUGAAGCUGUCUAAGAGUCUGAGGCUAGGAUGCCUAAAGAUGCAGUCCAGAGUGGUCGGCCUCCCAGGGUAUGGAGAGUGGCUCUGAGAGGCAGAUGAAAAUUAUUUGGCAUAGCAUGUAAAGUGCUUAACACUAAUCAUGUCCAAUAGUAAGUGCUUAAUUAAUGAUAACUGAAAGGUGGCCUUACUAAUAACUAAGAGAGGAAAAUUAACAGAAAGUAAGGGAAAUAAACUCAUGUCACAUAAUUGCCUCUUUGAAAAGAAGAUUCACAACACAACUACCCCUUUUGUUUUGUUUAACUAAACAACUGUGGUCUAACUCAUUACCUGUAAGAGUUUUGUUUUCUCAGCCUUGAAGAGCCCUAAACGGACAGUAGGGAUGUGAACUCCCGGCUCCAGCUCUCUGCCUCAGUUCCUGCCAGAAACACAUCUCAAGUACUCAGAUAAGCUGGCCUCACAGAGAAAAGAGAAAAAAAUAAAGAGCACCUGCAACAGCUUUGCAGCCGCUUCUGUUAUCCGUUUGCUGAAGCAGAGGAAAAAAAGCCAUUUUUUACCCUUUAAAAACUCCAAACAGCUUUUCCUCAAUGGCCUGGCACUUCCUUCCUUCCUCUGCACGUCUUGGCCACUCCCUCCUUCCCUCUCUCUCUCUUUCUCGGAAAAAUAAAUAAACUUUUAACUUCUUUUUAUUUUAGUCUUUGUGUGUGAUAUCUUUCUCUGCCUGUGUAUGAAUUUCCCACCCUUUCAAUAACUAUUAUUAUAAUUAUUAUCACCUGACAAUGGGAUCUAUGCAUGGAGAUAAGCUAGAUGCGAGUGUGUGUGUGUGUGUGUGUGUGUGUGUGUGUGUGUGUGUGUGUGAAACUUUAAAGGAACCUCAUUAUUCUACCCAUGAAGACUGGAUGUGGGCAUGCCAGCACUGGGAAAUUUAGGCAGAGUGGAGUUUAUUGAAUUGUGUAGCGCCAUUUACCUAGGUCAAGCUAAGAGAAAAAUCUCAUUUAGUACAAUACUCUAUCCACUGGCCCCUUAACAGGAGUUCUCCUCUUCAUUUUCUAAUCAUUCUGGAAUGGUGGAAAGCUUCCUAUAUCACGUUUCCUAACAACUCUCGAAUUAAGCCUUCAGGUCCACCUUGGGGAGUCAGUCUCGCUAGGCGCAGCAUGUUGCUCCAGCCAGGCUCUUCUCUCCAACUUUCCUCCCACCCAGCUGCCUGCCUCUCUCGGUUCAGAUAGCUGUGAACAGUGCCACUCCCACAUAGUUCAGUGCACAGUAUUCUGGGGUUUCCUAAGCAGCAGGUUGGCAACCAGCAGCAGAUGGAGAAGCUGCGUAACACUGAGUGGAGGCUGCAAGGAGAGGUAGGCAAUGAGGCAGGUGGCCAAGUGGGCAGUCGGGGAGAUGGAGGCCCAGGACACAGGGAGGGCACUUGCUGCCAGAUGCAAAGAUCCCUAUGAAGUUGUAAAUUUCACAGUCUCACUGUUUCCCUUCUUCCCUUCUCCCUCCCCCCACUCACAAUGCAUCUCUAAAUUCAGUAAAUCUCAUUUACCCAUUUUUCUUAGGUAGGAAGUAAUGUGCCAUCUCUGCCCCCAAGUCUGAUUUCCCCUGUAAGGCUGAACUUCAACAACUCUAUUGUGCCUUUAAGGAAGAAAUCAACAUGGUGCAGAUGGUAUUUCAAACAUAUUUGUUUCUGUGUCAUCUGCUCUGAACAUAAAUAUCAAUUCAGUGACUUCACUGUUGUAAGUGAUAAGUUGAAACAUCAUCAGUUGUUUUUUAGUUAAAUGACAGUAACAAAAUGAAAAAUCACCAUUAAAAAGGCUAUAUUUGCAUAUUUUUAUGCUGUCAAAGAACAUGGCACUAAUGUAGCAUAAGGAGAAUUCUUAAACAGAAACAUUACAGUUUUUCAAAUUCUAAGGAAGAUCAAAAAUAAAUGCUGAAAUUUCAUUUGUAAAAAGAAACGGAACAGUUAUUUCACUGUCAGAAUAAUAAAAGCACUUUCUAGUGACAUUUUAAAUAGCAUAUUAAUUCAAAAUUGUAAUUUUGAGAAGGAGCGAUUCCAUCUACAUAAACAGCAAAUGCAUUCUAAAUGCUUAGUAUUACCAUAAUGACUAGAAAUUAAAUUAAUAAUGCUAGGAUAGUUAAAUCUGAUGUAACCUUCUUAAAUCUUUGUAUCUACAUGAAUUAUUUCUCAUUCUUAUUGAACUAUCAUUCUGAACUUUGUUUGUUGUUUAAAUUUUUCAAAGAGGUGAACAAUUCUUUCAUUUUAGGAGUAUAUCACUUUUUGAAAUUACCUUCAAAAGACAUUUGUACUAAUUUGAACCCACCAAGCAUUUUAAUAGUUGUAGGGCCAGAUUGGUCUAAGACCCAUACAUAUGCUGAUAUAAUCACAAUAUUGUCAGUAAUUGUCUUGCCACAGUGCUGAUUUUAUUAUAUCUCAUAACUGAGAUGGCUGAACUAAAAUCGGUACCAUUUUAAUCCUGAAUGAAUGGAGAGCGAAAGAUGUCUUUUCAAUCUAGGUUAUAACAUCUGAGCAACAUUUUAUAAAAUCAAGAUACCCAUAAGUCAGGGGAAAAGGUUUCUAUUCCCUCUCUAAAGAAGACUGUAAAGGUACUACAAAAGGUUUGGGUAAAGGGAUUCCUUAGGGAGAGUUCUUCAUUUCUUUUCUUUUCUUUUAAGUGUACACCAGGAUGGUCAGCAAAUCUAAUCCUGCUGGUCGCAGGGCCUUUAAUGAGACGUAGGGCAGCAGGCAGCUUUGGUUUCAAAAGGUACGUACCAUUUAGGGCUUCAUAGGCCCAGAGGCAAACCUAGAAUUCAAUUGUCUAACGUAUGAGUAUCUAAGGUAAUUCACAAAUAGUGGACAAUUCUUCCGGGAAAUGUAAACACUAAACAAUGUGCUUUGCUCCACCACCUCACUACUUGGCAAGCUUCUGUUAUUAUUAUUGUACAAGUCCUCAGAUCUCUUUGUUUCCUAGAUUGUAUUCCACCUUAAAAAGUGAUUAGGACAUGCAGCUCCUUCUUGAAUACAGCAUAAAACAAGGCAGAUUGUGCUUCAGACAGGAUUCUCUUGCACUGCCAGAAUACUCUGCUGCCAAAUGUCAAUGUGGUGAAGUCCUUGGCCAUAAUAGCUAUGGCCGUCAUAGUGCUCAGACAAGACUUCUCAAAGGGUGCACAGAACAGCUACCCUGCCAGACCCGGUAUUUGUGCUGUCAGCCGUGGAUCCUCACCACCUCUUUCCCUAGAUCUCCCCAAACCCACAUCUCAAGAAUGGUAAAAACAAGGCGGAUAAUGUAGUUUUCCGAGAUCAAUUAGAAAUUAUUUAUUCUGAGAGUUUCAUUUAGCUGGAAAACCAUAGUGAUGUUUAAA